AAUGGCUCAUUAAAUCAGUUAUCGUUUAUUUGAUAGUACCUACCAACUACAUGGAUAACCGUGGUAAUUCUAGAGCUAAUACAUGCUAAAAACCCCGACUUCGGGAGGGGUGUAUUUAUUAGAUAAAAAACCAAUGCCCCUCGGGGCUCCUUGGUGAUUCAUAAUAACUCAACGGAUCGCAUGGCCUUGCGCCGGCGACGGUUCAUUCAAAUUUCUGCCCUAUCAACUUUCGAUGGUAAGGUAUUGGCUUACCAUGGUUUCAACGGGUAACGGGGAAUUAGGGUUCGAUUCCGGAGAGGGAGCCUGAGAAACGGCUACCACAUCCAAGGAAGGCAGCAGGCGCGCAAAUUACCCAAUCCCGACACGGGGAGGUAGUGACAAUAAAUACUGAUACAGGGCUCUUUUGGGUCUUGUAAUCGGAAUGAGUACAAUUUAAACCCCUUAACGAGGAACAAUUGGAGGGCAAGUCUGGUGCCAGCAGCCGCGGUAAUUCCAGCUCCAAUAGCGUAUAUUAAAGUUGUUGCAGUUAAAAAGCUCGUAGUUGAACCUUGGGCCUGGCUGGCCGGUCCGCCUCACCGCGUGUACUGGUCCGGCCGGGCCUUUCCUUCUGGAGAGCCGCAUGCCCUUCACUGGGUGUGUCGGGGAACCAGGACUUUUACUUUGAAAAAAUUAGAGUGUUCAAAGCAGGCCUUUGCUCGAAUACGUUAGCAUGGAAUAAUAGAAUAGGACGUGCGGUCCUAUUUUGUUGGUUUCUAGGACCGCCGUAAUGAUUAAUAGGGAUAGUCGGGGGCAUCAGUAUUCAAUUGUCAGAGGUGAAAUUCUUGGAUUUAUUGAAGACUAACUACUGCGAAAGCAUUUGCCAAGGAUGUUUUCAUUAAUCAGUGAACGAAAGUUAGGGGAUCGAAGACGAUCAGAUACCGUCGUAGUCUUAACCGUAAACUAUGCCGACUAGGGAUCGGGCGAUGUUUCUAUCUUGACUCGCUCGGCACCU
rnacentral:rRNA from 1 species